rnacentral:lncRNA from 1 species
GGUCGUGCUGCAAGCGUUCCAGGUCCAGGCUGGGCGACCCCUCGCGCUGCUGAGAGGCUCCUAUGCCCGGUGGGAGUUGAAGUCGGGCUCCGGGAGCAGCAGUCAUCCUGAUCCUCCCACCCGCGAGCUCCAAGCACUUCUGGAUCCAGGUCCCGCCUUGGGCGGAAAUGUGCAGUCAGUUGACUGCCCAGGAGCCACCUUCCCCGCUCCCGCGUUAGUCUCUUGGAAUGAGAAUCUAGAAACCUAGGAUCUGAUUCCGGCUCUGUUAGAGAUUAGUAGUUACUUCUCUGAGCCUCAGUUUCCUCAUUUCUAGAAAACGAUGGUAUUGGGGCAGGCGCGGUGGCUCACGUCUGUAAUCCCAGGACUUUGGGAGACGGAGGGGGUGGAUCACCUGAGGUCAGGAGUUAGAGACCAGCCUGGGCAACAUGGCGAGACCCCCUCUUCUACUAAAAAUAUGAAAAUUAGCCAGCGUCGUGGCACAAAAAAAAAAAAAGAAAAGAUUUUUUUUUUUGGAGAUGGAGUCUCUCUCUGUCGCCCAGGCUGGAGUGCAGUGGCACUAUCUCGGCUCACUGCAAGCUCCGCCUCCCGGGUUCACGCCAUUCUCCCGAGUAGCUGGGACUACAGGCGCCCGCCACCAUGCCCGGCUAAUUUUUUUGUAUUUUUAGUAGAAACGGGGUUUCACCGUGUUAGCCAGGAUGGUCUCGAUCUCCUGACCUCGUUAUCCACCCGCCUUGGCCUCCCGAAGUGCUGGGAUUACAGGCGUGAGCCACCCCGCCCGGCCACAAAAGUGCUUUAUAAAGCAUUACCUGGAAUGGGGGCGGGGGGGAGCCCUCAGACAACCUAAAUGUUCAUCAAUAAAUGACCACUUAACUGAUGGAUUCCAUAAAAUAGAA